UGCGCAGGCGGUUUUGUAAGACAGUGGUGAAAUCCCCGGGCUCAACCUGGGAACUGCCAUUGUGACUGCAAGGCUGGAGUGCGGCAGAGGGGGAUGGAAUUCCGCGUGUAGCAGUGAAAUGCGUAGAUAUGCGGAGGAACACCGAUGGCGAAGGCAAUCCCCUGGGCCUGCACUGACGCUCAUGCACGAAAGCGUGGGAGCAAACA
rnacentral:rRNA from 1 species